rnacentral:lncRNA from 10 species
AGCGCGUGGUGGCCACGAGUCCCAGCUCUCAGAGGAACAGGCCUUGAAGACGCAGGGAGGUUUGCACUGGCAAAAGCCUCGGCAUCUCUGUUUAUUUUUACCUUACAUGCACCACCACCGCGGCUUCCUGCUGUAGCCUCUCCCCACCCGAGAGGCAUUCCCAGCCCCCAGGACCACAGAGAGGGGCAGGGGUCUUCAGUGUGGCUAAGGGCCACCGCCUGCAGCACCUGGGAUGGAGCUGCCAACUACCCCCAUCCUCAGAGCUGAAGUCUCCUAGCGUUUGGGCCUUGACUUUCUUAAUGCGAGAUACAGCUCAAAGCUUGCGGUCACAUUUCUGUCUUCGGGUGCUAAAACUGCAUUUCCUUCUUGAGUUCCAUGUUUCAGGGAGAGAAUCAUGAAGAAACAGAAUAAAGGACUUUGUUGCAAACUGCAGUCAUAAAGAAGGACAUGUGGGUGAGGCUGGGAGCCCGGGGAGCCUGGUGUCAGCUCCAAUCCGAGCAGCGGGGCCAGCAGGAAGACCCGGCCUCUGUGAGUGUGUGGGGUGCUUUGGAGAUGGGGGUGUGUUUAGACUUUGUCUCUUACAUGUUAUUCCCAUGGCAGGCUCUGCACCAGUCCCGGCACUGCCUGCAGCAUCUGAUUCUGCCAGUGCUGCCCACUUAGCUUUUGGAUACAUGGAAGUUCUGCAUCGUGGUUCCUGCUGAAGAAGGGAGUGUGUGGCUGUGUAUGUGUGUGUGCACAGGCAUGCACACACCUGUGUUUACAUGAACACAUAUGAGCAAGUGCAUGUGUAUACGCAUGAACACGUGUGUGCACUGAGGUACAUGCAUGUGUGCAUUCGCCUACACGUACGUGUGUGUGUGCACAUGGUACACAUGUGUGAUUGGCAAGCGUGUGCACACAUAUGUAUAUGGGCACAUGUAUAUGCAGGCAUGUAUGCACGUUUGGGCACAUAUAUGUACAGGCAUGUAUGCACAUGUGGGUGUGCAUGUAUAUUAUAUGAACACACGUGUGCAUCCAUUUACAGGCAUGUGUGCAUGCAUGUGUGUUUGGCGUGUGAUAUUUGUUACAUAUAUGUGGCCACACACGGAUACAGGUAUGUGUACACACGUGCACGCACACUUGCCCAGAUACAGACCUGCACGCCUUCCUGCCCUCCAUCCCGCCUUUGGGGUCUCCAUCACCGCUGCUUGUUGAUAGGUCUUGAAAAGGUCCAGGCUGGCGGGCAUGUCCUGCUGCCCAGGUGGGCAGGAGUGGGAACAGCAUAUCUGGGCCUUCUCCAGGUUUCCUCUGUCAGCCCGGAGGAGGGCAAUCACGACGCAAUUUCUUACAAUAAUGAUACCUCACAUUGCAUAAUCGUUCAUGUCCUUCAAAAUAUUGAAAAUCGUAGCACAGAAAGUUUGGAGGGUUCCACAGCAACUCAGCACCACGAAGUCGGCCACGGCCCCACACGUCGACGGCUCGGUUGGGUGACGUGGCCGGCCCCGGGGACGCCUCUUUCUGCUGACGUUCAUCCACAUCCACAUCCAGAGCUUCUCGGUGUCCAGGAGAUGCUGCCAGCUCCUGGCCCCAGGAUGGGUGUGAGGCUGUGGCCCCGGGGUGAAAAGCUACAUCUCCCACGGCAGAUAGCCACCAUCAUGGCUGUUAGAUGCCUGCGGACCGGACGAUGCAUCUAAAGGAAAAUGGACCCAGGCGGGAAGACUAACGGCCGCCGGAGUGUUGGCAGAAGCAGGCCCGUUGCUGAAUCGUGACGUUUGUAGAAAUCGCUGUUUUAGCCGCUGUUGGCUCCUCUCAAACUCCUGACCGACCCCAAGAGCUGCCGGGAAGCCCCUUCCCCUGCGACUCCUCAGGGACACGGGCUCCGGCUGCAGCCUCAAGUGACCCCUUUGCAGGAGUCCAAGAAAAGAGAAGCUGCUUCCGUGGAUUUCUGUCCCAGAUGAAGCCGCAGCAGCAGGAAGUGGUAGCUGGCUGCUCCCAGGGUCUGUAUGGCUGGGACAAGAGGUCUCAAAGCUGUCCCUGGGAAGGAGCUUAGGCGGUGCUGAGCUGAUGUUCAGGGGGGCGGAGGGAGAGACAGGGAAAAAGCUUAGGCAGUGCUGAGCUGAUGUUUGCGGGGGCAGAGGGAGAGACAGGGCCGGAGACACGGGGAACACGGUCCAGAAGCAGUGGGGAGCAGUGGGAGGGAGAGCCAGACCCUCUGCGACACCGGCUGUGGGCUGGGACAACGGGGGAGGGUGAGGCAGUCCCAGCUCUCAGGGCCUCUGGCCCAGGACGGGGUGUGAGAUGGCCAAGCUGCCGUGGGGCUGCCCAGGAGGAAGAGAAGCAAACCCAUCGGGGAGGGCUCACGGGCCUGGUGGUAUCUGCAGAGGCUCCUGAAGGGUGUGUGAGAGUGUCCAGGAAGGGUACUUGGAGGGAGCCCUGGGCGAGUGGCCGGCACGAAAAAAGGCCUAGGGUGCCCAGAGCCCUGUGUGGGUCGGAGCUGGGUCUUUCCAGGUCAGGGUUAAGGUUCGGGCUGUGUCUCUUUUCCACAGCCCUUGAGAGCAGUAGGAUUUCCGAAAAUGUAGCUUGCAUGGUUUCUGACAGUCAGAAAUAAUCCACAUGGUAGGCUUUCUGUAAUCCUGUACUUUAAAAUUGGCAUCACAGACCAGUGCCCCUGCAGAGAGCAGCCUGGGCCUCCAAAUGGAGGGGCCUGCUGGGGAAUGAGCUGUCUCGGGGGUCCACACUGGAGGAGGCGGUGGAGCCACGCCCAGGCUGGAAAGCCUCUAUGCAUAGUGGGCCCCGGAGCCGCAGGUCCCUGGUGCAGGGGGUGGAGGUCAGGCAGGCCCUGGGCAGCCAACUGCUGCCCGAAGCCCACCCUGAGGAGGGAGGGAGGCAGAAGAGGAGGCAGGACAGAUCCCUUGGGGGAGGCAAAGCCACUUCCCCAGACCCAGCAGUGCCCAUAUCUGGGGGACCCCAGGAAGGGCCGGCACUGCGUGGACACCCCUCCGGCCAGGCCCUUGGUUCCAAGUUCACACCGGUUCCCUGUGGAAUGGUCUGAUGGACAGGAGUCUGACCUGGAGAAUCCAUGCCUCUCACACAUGGAGCUGGGCAACAGCUGGGACCUGCGCCGCUCAGCCUCAGGCUCCCCGGAGGCUCCCCUGCCACAAGAGGGGCUGUCCCGGGUGCUUCGAGUGGAGUGAGCUAGAGGGAGUGGGACAGUAGGGCCGCCUGGGAGAGCCGGCCUUGCCCACCACCUGGCCGGAGCUGGACUGACAUCGGCUGGCUCCAAGUCCAGGAGGACGCUCAUGAACUCUGAGCUACUCAGAGGGUACGAGUCCUGCUGCAACACAGUGGUCUUUACAAAGUGUGAAUGAACUGAAACUUCAUAAAUCGUCUAAAUUUACAACAUCCAAACAGAACUACCUCUUUUUUAGAUUUAUUUAUUUAGUUAUCGAGAGAGGGUCUCGCUCUGUCACCAGGCUGGGUGCAAUCGUGGCUGACUGCAGCCGCGAACUCUCAGACCCAGGGGUCCUCGUGCCUCAGUCUUCUGAGUAGCUGGGACCACAGGUGGGAACCACCAGGCCCAGCUAAAAUGCCUUAAAAAGAAUCAUCUAAGGCAGGGGUAGAAGCUACAGCUCCAGGGCCCAAGUCAGCCUCUGUUUUUGUCGCACAGGGGGCUAAAAAUGAUUUUUGUAUCUUUAAAUGGUUGGAAAAUCAAGAGACUAUUUUGUGACAUGUGAAACUUAUAGGAAAUUCAAAUUUUAGCUCCAUAAACAAGGAGAGGUGGGGGCACAGCCACACGCACUCAUCGCGUGUGUCGAAGGCUGCUCUGAGCCACAGCGGCAGACGUGAGUGUUUUCACUGGAGGCAGAGUGACCUCACGGCCUGAAAUGCACCGUCCUCCCUUCACACAGCAGUGUGUCCGCCCAGUUCUCAGGCUCCUUGGCAAGGCUGGAGCCCCAAGGGGCUUCCUACCCCCGAGUUUCCCCUGCCCACAGACCCCAUAACCAGAAGCCGGCUCGCCCGGUGCCCUGAUCCCACCCUGUCCAUGCCACGGUCCCCUUCCUGUCCACACAUCCCAGGUCUUCCCUGGCAGCCUUUGGUGACAAGUGCAGACACGCUGCCCCUUGUCUGGGGUCCUUGGUCGCCUCUCACCUGUCACCCAGGUGGCAGGUGCGGCCCUCGGGCCCACUCUGAGGGUGAUGGGCUGAUGCUCCCGAACGGACAUCAGGCUCCGUGACGGCUGGUCCUACACGGUCUUCCCCCACUGUCCCUGAGGCCACGCCCCUCUCCUGCUGCAGAAACCUGGGUUUCCUACGCCAGGCUUAAAUGAAAGGAGCUUUGGGACAGAAGUCCAAGAAAGGCCAAGAGGACUCCAGCUUGAUUGUUCCUCAAGCCUGCUCUUGGCAGAGAGAACCGGGUAAAUCUGAGGAACCGGGGAGAGGGCCUUGCCCCAUGGGCAGGAUUGUCACCGCCAGGACGGGGGCUGCUUUGGGUGCCGAGUCCUGGAAGCUGCUUGGACCCAUCCACGACUUCUGUGUGCUGCUGGCAGCUGACCAGCGGCCACACAUCCUGGACGCGUGGGGAUGGAGCCACGGGCAGGGUACAGUGGCAACCGCAGAGCUGGGGCUUGCCAGGGGCACCGGUGGGGCCCAGCAGAGGCACCCAUGGAAAGGAGUGAGUCCUCCAGGGCCGUCUAAGCAGUCGUGUUCCACCCAUUCAGUAGCUUCAAAAACAGGCUCACGGUUUGGCUACAAGCCCAGGUCUCCGGCUCAGUUCCCUCACCUUAGGGCUCCCCGUGGUCAUGGGCAACACAGCGUCCCACGUUCCAGAUGGAGGUCAGGAGCGGAGGGGACAGGAGGUGAGGAGGUGAGUGGGCAGCGCCGACAAGGAGGGAACCCAGCCAUGCUCUAGACAGGGUUUAGGAGUGGAGGGGACUGAACAAAAGGAAUCGUCUUCAUUUCACCUUCUAGUAAAGAGAACAGGCUUCAGCCAAGGGAAGGAGGGUGGAAGUGCAGAGCCCUCCUGUGCAGGAGCCCUGGGACGGGGGCACCAUCCCCCAGCCCCCGGGAGCCGCCGAUCCCCCCGAGACCGGCCUGCACCUGCACAUGCGGGGGGCGGGGGCCCGGAAUUGUUCUGCCACAGUGGCCCGGCAGGCAGGGAGAUCAGAGGAAGAAAUAAAAUCCUCAGACCUCACCGGGGGUCCCGAAGAGCAGCCUUUGCCCGGGGCCCUCACGCAGAUCCCCGCGUCGCAGGGCAUCGCGGUCCCUGUUACCAUAAGCGAUAAUGCAGAAGUGUGAUAAAAACCGUCUGUCGUUCAUAAAAUGUGAUGAUGCCUUUCUGCAAAGCCAUAAGCCAGCCCGGGGCUCAGCCAAGAAACGGCUGUAAAAUCUGGCGUCAUGGCCUCAAAGCAUACUUUCCAAUAUAAAGAAUUUUCUAGGCAGCCGUUUCCAGAAUUUAUCUGUGUGCAAUAAUUGUACACCUAAAACUAUGGCCGUGUUCCAUGUCUGGUGGUCUCUUUAGCAGUUCCUCCCCUGUGACGGCGAGAAAGCGCCUUCUUAAUGCGGAUGGGCUCCGGGUGACGAGUGACCACCUCGGGUUCACUUGCUAAUGACUUUGCCAUCGGACAUGAGCACAGGUGCCUGGGGAGGUGCCGUCUGUCUUUGUGAUCCCCCAGGUUGCCAGGAAGGAGGAACUCACGCCUCUGUUGAGAAGAGCAGGUUUUGUCUUGGUUGGACUCAGAGGCCCUGAGAGCAGGAAUUCCCCUCCCAAGGGCCCCCCAGGAGACCCCUCGGGCCAGGACUCCCAGGGCCCCCCA